UGGGGAAUUUUGGACAAUGGGGGAAACCCUGAUCCAGCCAUCCCGCGUGUGCGAUGAAGGCCUUCGGGUUGUAAAGCACUUUUGGUAGGAAAGAAACGUCAUGGGUUAAUACCCCGUGAAACUGACGGUACCUGCAGAAUAAGCACCGGCUAACUACGUGCCAGCAGCCGCGGUAAUACGUAGGGUGCAAGCGUUAAUCGGAAUUACUGGGCGUAAAGCGUGCGCAGGCGGUUCGGAAAGAAAGAUGUGAAAUCCCAGAGCUCAACUUUGGAACUGCAUUUUUAACUACCGGGCUAGAGUGUGUCAGAGGGAGGUGGAAUUCCGCGUGUAGCAGUGAGAUGCGUAGAUAUGCGGAGGAACACCGAUAGCGAAGGCAGCCUCCUGGGAUAACACUGACGCUCAUGCACGAAAGCGUGGGGAGCAAACAGG
rnacentral:rRNA from 1 species